rnacentral:rRNA from 1 species
GGAGGGAGCUAGCGUUGUUCGGAAUUACUGGGCGUAAAGGGCGCGUAGGCGGUCGGGUAAGUCGGGUGUGAAAUUCCGGGGCUCAACCCCGCGAACUGCAUCCGAUACUGCUCGACUUGAGAGAGGUAGGGGCGAGUGGAAUUCCCGGUGUAGCGGUGGAAUGCGUAGAUAUCGGGAAGAACACCGGUGGCGAAGGCGGCUCGCUGGACCUUUUUCUGACGCUGAAGCGCGAAAGCGUGGGGAGCAAACAGGAUUAGGUACCCUGGGUAGUCCACGCCGUAAACGAUGGGUACUAGGUGUUGGGAGGAUUGACCCCUUUCAGUGCCGACGCUAACGCAUUAAGUACCCCGCCUGGGGAGUACGGCCGCAAGGCUG